UACACAAGGACAUACGAUGGGACCUUUAAAU
rnacentral:piRNA from 1 species